rnacentral:rRNA from 1 species
GAUGAACGCUGGCGGCGUGCUUAACACAUGCAAGUCGAACGGGAACUCUGGAUUCGUCUGGAGGGGAGAGUGGCGAACGGGUGAGUAACACGUAGGUGACCUGCCUCGAAGACGAGGAUAACCGCUGGAAACGGUGGCUAAUACUCGAUGGUCUCGAUAAUUCGGUUUAUCGAGUAAAGGCUCUGGCGCUUUGAGAGGGACCUGCGGCCCAUCAGCUAGUUGGUAGGGUAACGGCCUACCAAGGCGAAGACGGGUAGGGGGCGUGAGAGCGUGACCCCCCACACUGGCACUGGGACACGGGCCAGACUCCUACGGGAGGCAGCAGUGAGGAAUAUUGCGCAAUGAGCGAAAGCUAGACGCAGCAACGCCGCGUGGGUGAUGAAGGCCUUCGGGUCGUAAAACCCUUUUCUGGGGGAAGAGUAAGGACGGUACCCCAGGAAUAAGCCUCGGCUAACUAUGUGCCAGCAGCCGCGGUAAUACAUAGGAGGCAAGCGUUAUCCGGAUUUACUGGGCGUAAAGAGCGUUGAGGCGGCUUCGUAAGUUGGACGUGAAAGCUCCCGGCUUAACUGGGAGAGGCCGUUCAAUACUGCGGGGCUUGAGGGCAGCAGAGGGGGGUGGAAUUUCCGGUGUAGUGGUGAAAUGCGUAGAUAUCGGAAGGAACACCAGUGGCGAAGGCGGCCCCCUGGGCUGCUCCUGACGCUGAAGGCGAAAGCUAGGGGAGCGAACGGGAUUAGAAACCCCGGUAGUCCUAGCCGUAAACGAUGGAUACUAGGUGUAGGAGGUUAAAAUUCCUUCUGUGCCGGAGCUAACGCG